CCUACGGGAGGCUGCAGUGAGGAAUAUUGGUCAAUGGGCGCGAGCCUGAACCAGCCAAGUAGCGUGAAGGAUGACUGCCCUACGGGUUGUAAACUUCUUUUAUAAAGGAAUAAAGUGAGGCACGUGUGCCUUUUUGUAUGUACUUUAUGAAUAAGGAACGGCUAACUCCGGGCCAGCAGCCGCGGUAAUACGGAGGAUGCGAGCGUUAUCCGGAUUUAUUGGGUUUAAAGGGUGCGCAGUCGGAGGUGCAAGUCAGCGGUAAAAUUGCGGGGCUCAACCCCGUACUGCCGUUGAAACUGCAGCCCUUGAGUGCGCGAGAAGUAUGCGGAAUGCGUGGUGUAGCGGUGAAAUGCAUAGAUAUCACGCAGAACUCCGAUUGCGAAGGCAGCAUACCGGCGCGCAACUGACGCUCAUGCACGAAAGCGUGGGUAUCGAACAGGAUUAGAUACCCUAGUAGUC
rnacentral:rRNA from 1 species